CACCCUUUGAACUAUUGAGGGUAAAAUCUGGAUAGCCAAUGUGGGGACUCAAGCCAGGAGUACAGGGGAAAGAGCGGAGAAAAUUUAGGCCCCAUGGACAUGAUCAACGGUUCUCAAAGUAUGGUACCCAGACAGCAAACAUCAUCUGGAAACUUACUAAAAAUGCAAAAAAAUCUCAGGCCCUACCUAGAUCUUUGAAUCAGAAAAUCUGGGGUGGGGCCCAGAGACCUAUGUGUAUCCAGCUGGCCAGGUGAUUCUGAUGUCAGCUAAAGUUUGGGGGGAAAAAUUCUUGGAUCAAGUCUUCAUUAAAAGGAAAAAGGCAAAACAACAUAAAACAAAAAGAAGAAGGAAAAAGAUCUUCAACUAUAGCCCAGGCCAGUUCACCAGGGAAAGCGAAUUGCUAGUUAUUUGGGACUAAACCUCAGACUCGCCCAGGCCGUGGUAUUUUGUGGAAGAGCCACACUCAAGAGGCCAAAGAGCCACAUGUGGCUCUCGAGCCGCAGUUUGCCGACCACAGGUGCUCUUGUUGUGUCUGUUUUGAAGAUAAGAAAAUGAAGGCCUUGUGCAAUGAAAUCAUUUGUUCAAAGUCACAAAGGUAUUCAAUGACACAGCUAAUAUAUGAAUGAAGACAGCCUCAUCUCAGAGUUAGUCCACUUAACUUUUAAAAUUCUGCUUUUUUCAAACAAUUAAAGAAUG